CCGGACUCCUCGCAGCCAGGUGGCUUGAAAGCGAUGAAGCUGAUGCACUGUACUUGCCUGGUGUUGUCGAAGCCGAUGAUGCGGACAUAGGCGCCAGGGUAUUCCUUCUUGACCUCCUCCAACUCCUUGAGCACCUGCGUGGCGUCAGUGCACCCGAACAUGGGAAGCUUCCACAUUGUCCAGUACCUCCCGUCCUAGUACCCUGGGGAGUUGCCGUGCUCACGGAAGACGAAACCGACCUUGCUGAACUCGAGGCAAGGAACCCAUUUGGAGCGGAUGAGAUACUCGAUCUGCUUCAGGAGGGACUCCACGGUGAGAGGUGGCAGGUAGGAAAGGGUCUCGAACUUCUUGAUGCCCUCAAUUGGCCACACCUGCAAUUAGAUUAAAAUUAGCACACAAAGUGUGAUUUGAGACACAUAUCGAUGGAGUAUUUCACUUCACACAUAUCGGUAUGAUGAUAUACAUACCUGCAUGCUCGUGAUCCUGCCACCGUUGGAGACGCUGCCGAGGCCAGCGCCGGCAGAGCGGCGGCUGACGGGGAGCCCGGCGGUGGACUUGAGGCCCCGGAAAGGAGCAACAGCGGUAGCCGCCGCCGACAUCACUGUCGGACCCAUAGCAUCCACCCUUGUAUCACUAGAGUAUAUCUACUUAGCUAAUAUGCUAAGUUUGGCACGGAGAGAGGAGGUCGAGUGGACUUCAUUCCUGGUCACAAGGGUUUAUAUAUACCAUAUAACAUACGAGCAAUUUGUGAUUAAUUUGUUGUCGUUCUAGGAGAUGUGGAAAGGGUGGAUGCCGUUCGUUGGUUGCCUUAUCCGUUCUAGAGAAGGGAUGGAUGACCGACGCUCGCUCAGCCGUCUCCUUCGUCCAUCGUUGCCAAUCUUUCUAGCUAUAAUUGGAAGUUCCAAAGGAACAUACGGUUUCAUGCCUACUUCCAUCGGCCUAUCAUGUACCAAUCCAAUAAAAGGACAUCGUUCAACCAUCAAUCCAUGUGUGUGUAGUAAGUGAUUGGCUACGAACCUUCAGCUGACUUGCUUUAUUGGAUAUUUCUGUAAAGCGAGUCCACGGUGUGUGGGUUUAAAAUCUCGUGGCGGCAACUGUUGACGGGUGCAAAUAUCAGUAGCCUUAAAACAAUAAACUUUACUCCGUCCCUUCCGAAAUGCAAGAAUGUCCUAAGUCAAACUUCUUAUGCUGCAGGACCAUAGUUUUUGAGGUGUUCUUCUCACGAGUCCACGAAGAACGGGAAUUUUUUGGUGUCGGGUAAGGGCGGGGGAAUAUAUAGAUGCUAGCAUCAGCAUGACGGGCUAACGGGUCAGGUAGGAUUUUGGACGACGUAGCACCUGACAUGUGGGGGCCACAUGUAAGAAAACCUGUCAAAAUGUCAUAACCCUCUGUUUUGGUCAACUUGAUACAAUCUGAUACAAAACGUGUGGUUUUCCUGACAAAUUAGCAAAUUUUGUGUCUCUGUGAGAAGCACGCCCCAAAAACUGUGGUUCCGUGAAAUUUAUUCACUAGUUACACUUUAUCUACAAACAUCUACGAUUCUAAAAUAGUUUGGUAUAUAUUUUCCGUAAUAUAAUUAUUUGAUAUUCUAAAUUCGGGGAUUUGUUCUUAUAAACUUGGUCGAAGUUUAAAAAGUUUGACUUCGGACAAAGUUACGACUUUUUACAUUUAGGAAUGAAGGGAAUACAUUUUAGUAAAGCAAUUGAGGAAUUGACAGAAUUAAAUAUCUUAAAUUAUACUGGUCCAUCGUGUACUCAUGGCAACAAAAUAAAUUUAUAGUCGAAAAGUUGGACCAUGAAAACUUAAAACGUGAUACAUUAAAAUUGUUGAAUCACUCUACAUCUUGUAAUUUUCUCUUGCAACCUUCUGGCGCGCUACUCAUUCCACAUUUGGUACUAUAUGUAUAAAUGUAUAUAUAUACCGCAUUAGGAGCCUCUAUUACUGUUUUAGUAUAAAUAGCAGUUUCCAUCGACUAUGCACUUCAUUAACUUUUUCUUCACGAGAUAACUUGCUUAUCGAUUUUCUUUAAUUAUCCAGAUGGCUUCUACUAGUUUGUUUCCUUGCUUACUGGGAUUUCCGCAGACUUUACGGUUAGGUAUUAUUGUCGUGUGGACAACACGGUGGCCGGAUGUUGAGAUGAUGAUGUCCUUUAUCUCCGUGUUGCUUCUGAGGACUGCGGAUCCGAGGCUAGUGGCGGUAUGGGAUGCCUCUCUACCUCUUGAUCAGGUCAAUCCGGCUCAGCAAGAGGCGGAUCGAUGGUGGCCGGUGUGACUAGAAGCGGGGAGGUAUAUAUGAAACGUUUCUUGCUUCCAGCAUCUCUUCUAGCGGUAUAUAUGUCGUCAGCUGGUUGAGGGAUUGAUGGCAAUCGAUCAUGGCUACGAUGACAUGUAUACGCGCCGGUAGGAACACAUAUCAGGCAAUGUCGAUGCACCUGCAUUGGGCCCUUGCUGAAGGUGGUGGUGCGUAUGGCAGUCUAAAGAUUUAAGACACAAAUUUAGACUUAAAACUUAAAUAAUCAAUUUGUGCCAGCGGGAAACACACAAACACGUACCGGUAAAUUAUCAUAAUCAGAAUUUGUCGACGAAUUUGAUAUUCUUUUACAAAAUAUACUUAUCUUAAUAUGUAUAACCGGAGUUUAUAUUACAUGCCCCUCUCCCAACGAUAGUUGUAGUACUCUUAUAAUAGUAGUACUCAUGAAUACAGUUAAUCCGGGUUGUUGGGAGAGAUCACAUGCAUAAAUACAACAUGAAACAAACGUGUGAAAAAGGUACAUAAAAUCGGUGUGACCCGUUCUUGUAUUAUAAGAAAUCAACUUGCUUAGGCCUUGCCGGACUCCUCACAACCCGGUGGCUUGAAGGCGAUGAAGCUGAUGCACUGCACUUGCCUGGUGUUGUCGAAGCCGAUGAUGCGGACAUAGGCGUCAGGGUACUCCUUCUUCACCUCCUCCAGCUCCUUUAGCACCUGCGUGGCGUCGGUGCACCCGAACAUGGGAAGCUUCCACAUUGUCCAGUACCUGCCGUCGUAGUACCCGGGAGAGUUGCCGUGCUCACGGAAGACGAAACCGACCUUGCUGAACUCGAGGCAAGGAACCCACUUGGAGCGGAUGAGAUACUCGAUCUGCUUCAAGAGGGACUCCACGGUGAGAGGCGGCAGGUAGGAAAGGGUUUCGAACUUCUUGAUGCCCUCAAUUGGCCACACCUACAAUUAGAUUAAUAAUUAGCACCGAAAGUAUAAUUUGAGACACAUAUCAGUAUUUCACUUCAACAUAUGUACAUGAUGACAUACAUACCUGCAUGCACCUGAUCCUUCCACCGUUGGAGACGCUGCCGAGACCAGCGCUGGCUGAGCGGCGGCCGAUGGGGAGCCCGGCGGUGGACUUGAGGCCCUGGAAAGGAGCAACGGCAGUAGCCGCUGACGACAUCACUGUGGGAGCCAUCGUACACGUACGUAGAUAGCUAACAAGAGGAGGCAGGCUUGCUUGAGUGCUCUCUAGCUACAGCGGCUUAUAUAACUGUAGGCUCCCCACCCAUCCAAUAUCAGCACAAGAUCUAGGAGGGGUGGCUGCAGUUCGCCGCGCGGAUUUGCCCAGGCCACGCUGGCAUCCUACGGAUCAGGUCGGGCGCCACAUGGCCGCACGAAAUGGCGCGCGUUAUCCUCUGGACGGAUACAAUUGGCUGCAACGCACUCUGCAAAUCAUGCCAUGAAGUGACCAAUUUUCACCUAUCAGGAUAGAUCCAAUGUGCCACGGCAUGCACUCAAAAACAGAACUUGCUAAUCCCUCCAAUCCAUAAAAAAUCUCGCCCACUUAUUAGAAAAUUUGUAAUGAGUUAAUGCAAAAUGAGCAGCACUUUUUAUGAACUAGAGGAACAACAAAUUAAGAGAAACUCUUCUAAGAUCUUAUCGAGAACGAAGCUUGCCCCCGCGUCGCUCAGUCUGGGGCGACACGGGCGGCAACCACACCAGCCCCGGCAGCAGCCUCUCCCCGUCCUCUCCUCCCCCUCGCCGCCGCCGGGCAAAGCCCGCACGGGGACGGCGGCGGCGGGGCUGUUUUUCUUGGCGGGGGUGUCCUAGAGCUCUUGGCUGAGGCGUUUGAGGUGCUGCCUCAUCGUGGUCGCGGCGUCUCCGGCCCGAUCCGGCAGGCUAUGCCUCGUCUUCGGCUAGAUCCGGCCGGCUUCCUCCCGGAUCCGGUGUUUCCCCUCGUUCUUCCUCUCCCUGGUGCUCGGUCUGCUCGUGGCUGCGCGGCUUCACGGCGGCGCUCUUCGGCCGGAUCUAGCUACUCGUUGGCCAGAUCCGUCAUCUCCUCCGGCUGAUCCGGCAUGUCCCAGGUCUCUUCGUUUCCAUCAUUUUUCCUCUCAGUUUGGUGAGGCGGCUGAUUGAACUUCACCGGCGGCAGAUGGGCUGCUGCUGCGGCCAUACAUGGUCCAAGUCGGUCCUUUUCGAUGCCAUGGUGGCGUGGUUUUCAUUUUCGGUCGCGUCUUCGGCUGCUGCCCGUGUGCGAGGUAUGGACGUCGGCUCCGGUGUUUGGAGUGUUGCUCUGGAUGAAAACUGCCCGUGUGCGAGGUAUGCCGAAGACAACGAUGUUGUAGCGCCGUUUUCCUUCUUGGAGGUGUCGUCGAAGAGCUUCACUUUCCCUCACUUUGAUGUUUGGUGUCUUCGGGUGAAAACCUAAGAUUUGGCUAUGGCCAGAUCGGGCGACAACGGCGUUUUUACGUCGAUUUCCUCCUUGGGGGCGUUGUCAUGGAGACAACGACUCUUGGUGGCAUCGGGUGGUGUGGUCCGUCUAUGGUGGAGCUUGUUGUCUCGAGUUGUUGAAGGUUUGGUGGUGUCUCUUCUUGUGUCAUGUGUUAGCUUAGGCUGUCGGUUUGUGUCCGGCGAGAACGUGCGUUUCUUAUCCUUUGGUGCGGUUUCGGCAUGUGAUGCCUUUCGUCUUCACUAUCGUCACGUAGGUGUCGUGUUGUAUUCUCGGUGGUGUGUGGUCUUUCGGCUUAGCCAACGGCAAGUGGAGGUAUGAUCUCGGUUGUGUAUUGCCCUUCGACUUCAUCGGCGGCACAUCGGCGUCGCGGUGGGUCUCAGUGACGCGCAGCCCUUCGACUCUGCCGGCUACGUAGGUGUCAUGGUGCGGCCUUGACCCUGUGCUUCCCUUCAGCUACGGCGACGACAUAGUGUCUGGGUGGGCUCGUCAGAUCGACGCCUUUCGACUACAUCAACUAUGCUCUUCAUUGUGCAUUUAUUUUGCCAUUGACAUGUUUCAAGAGUCUAGGUUUUUUCCUUGUGUUUCUUUUAGCAAAUGCUGUUCUGCAGGCUGGCUUUUGCCCACCCGAUCAGAAAAGAAAAACAAAUUAAAGGCUAAAAUCAAGCGAUGUUAUAUUCCCUUAGCUAUUACAAAUAUGGAUGAUAAGAGUUAUUUAUCCUUUUUCAACGAGUAACCCUUUACUUGGAAGUUCCAUGUGCAUGGCGCUGCAAGAAAACAAACAUCAUAAUGGGGCAAGACUUUUUUUUUUAUAAACAUCCAAUUUGGGUUAAAGUCUGAAAGAAUUUGGCUAUCUGAACUUUCAGUUUCCACAUUCUUUUACCUACUCAAUUCUUCAGCCAACAGGAUCAAUGGCGACCUACUAACACCAACCAGAACACAUGGGUCACAAACACGAAAAAGGGCUAGAAGGCUACUUAUACACACUCAUGUGUACUGCGAGCAAAAGAACAUAAUGUACAAAACUUUACAAAAUCUAGGGAAUUAAGACCUUCCCGUAUGCUGUUGCUGCCGCUGCUGCUUCAUGCUGGCUCUCCUGGCAACAUCCCAUGGUUUGUGAGGCACACCUACACCUUGCUGGGAUGCGAAGAACGACUCGUAUCCCGGGGAGUCGAAAGCAAAACCAGUGUGCUUGGAGUUCUCUCGAGGGAGCAUGGAGAUCGCAUAGCUUCUUGCUUCUUCUGGGCUCAAAUGGCUCCUCUCAGGCAGAUGUAUCAUGCUGUAUUCGUGGGGGUCAUCCUUGUGCAUCUCCUGGAUUACUUGGUAGUCAUAGGGAAAGAGCCAUCUUUGGAGCCUGAGAAAGCACACAGCAUCAAAGACAACAAUUGAUUCAGCUACUUCAGUAUGUACAAUGGAAGGAAUAACAAACGGAUGGCAUUAACAAACAUAUAAUUUUGCAAAAGAGCUGGUAUCUUACGAUAGAUACAGGAAAUCACCAAAGAGAGCGAUGACUGGAGCAAGCAUUAGUGUGAGGUAGAAGAAAAAGGUACUCAUCAGAACAUAAAUCACAAAAUAUACAUUUUCCUGCACAAGGUACACAGCAUUAAGUCAAUGCAUUUGUAGCAAGUAAUCGUCAUCAGCAGUGUAAUAGCUACAUUAUUCACCCACCUGUCGGUCAAAUGAUGUCAUUAUCGCAGAAUAUAUGAAGAUAAACAGAAACCAGGCCGCUAUACUGCCAGCUACGCUGAAAUAAUGCCAUCUCGUGAUAGAAUUGCACGACAUGAGGAGACGUAGAUUAACAGUCACCACAACACAAGUAAAGGCCAUCGUGCUAACAUCCCAUUGACCAAGAAUCUUGCCAGAUGAACCGUGACCAUGCUGACUUGCAGCUGCAGUAAAGUAAUAGAACACUAUUGACUGGUAGAAGGCAAAGAAACCCCACACCGCAAUCACUUUCCACCGGAAGAAUGUGUUCCUAAUUCCUUCUUGGUAAAGUUGUGGGUAUUUUUUUGAUAGAGAUGCACUCACAUCCUGAAAGGGUUCAGUUUAGUGAAUGUAGCAAGGAGCGUCACUCCAGAACAAGAAAAGUAGAACAAAUACAAGCAACCAUACCUUAUCAAACAACCCAACCAUAAUUACAGGUAGUGCCGUGAAAAUGACAUUAUACAGAGACUGGAACCAGUCAUCAUAAAAUCGCUGACCAGAAAAGCCAGUUUGGAAAGUGAACCAGAACUGAGUUAGUGUAAAAGUCAGAUUCUUGUAGAAGAAGUAUGUGAUAACCUGAAACAGAAAGUGUCAAUGUUAAAAAAAUUAAACUACACAGAUUGGCAGCUACAAGCUAAGGGACCAAAGCAUACCUUGCACAAUCUCAAGUAUGACCACCGCCCAUGUACAAGAAGUAAAUCCGUAAGAUAUCGAAACUGAGCAAUGGCAAAAUCACUCGCCAUAACAGCUUGCAUUCCUUCUUGUCCGCUGAUGCCAAUACCAACAUGAGCAGCUUGAAUCAUACUCACAUCAUUAGCACCAUCACCAAUACUGAGAGUUAUCUUACGUGCACCUUUCCUAACUAAACUUGCAACCUACAAAUGUGUCAACAUUACAUGUUUUGGCAUCAUUCGAACCCAACAGGUUAUUAGGAAAUAAAUCCAAAAAUAAGAGACUUUGAGAUUGCUGAUGGGAUGGGUAACAACCAAAUAAGCACAUAUACAAUAAGUUAAUUAAUACUACCUUUGUUUCAAAAUAUUAUACCAAAACGUCUUAUAUUUUGAAACAGAGAUAGUACUUAUAGUACAAGAGUGUACAGGACAUUUAGUUAAGAGGCCAAAACUAGAAUAGCAAAAGCAACCAAUGCACAGUGGUUAAUAAUGAUCUUGUGAAUCAUGCACAAACUAUUUUGUUGUCAAGGUACAAAAUUGGAUCCUUUAAAAUGUAAUAAUAUCAAUAUCCCCCGUUUAUUGCCCAAGCAUCCUGAAAGGCAUGCAGCUGAGAGCUGCAGACCAUACUGCUAAUUAUUUCAUGGGAAAAGGCAAGGCAUGCAUGAUAAGAACGCUAAAAGCGAGAAUUGAUAUUUACCUGUGCCUUUUGCAGUGGAGAAACUCGACAACAUACAACUGAUUGGCAAAUUAAACUCAAACCAAGAAGAUUCACACGCAGAGCUGGGUCUAGAGCGUACAUCAAGCAUCGUCCAUCAAUAAUGAAAGCCAACUUUCGUCCUGGCGUGCUCCUCAAAGAACGGUGGGCUUCCUCAAGGUAACUUCUCAGACUCUGUUUUACCGAGUCUUUGAUAACACGUGCAAUUUCCACAGGGUCUCCCUGAAAAUGACUGGAACAUUAUUCAUGGCAAAGAUAUGUGCAUAAGUUGAUUUACAUCAAUCAGAUACAAAUGCUAAAUUGCUAAUUAUGGUUGAUCAAACUGCAAAACACACGAGAUAUCCAAAAGGCUAUAUAAACAUGAUGGAGAGGCUAAAGCACUGAAACAACAGAAUCAACAUAAAGUAUUUUGUACUAUUAUGCAACUAAGCCUUUUGUCCCAAGCAAGUUGGGGCAGGCUAGAUAUGAAACCCAAACAGAAACUAAAGCAAAGUGCAGGUAACAAAAGAGCAAGAGAGUAAAUCAAGGUUCAGGCACAUGGACUGCUGAUUUCCAUGCAGCCCUAUCAAAAGCAAAAUCUCUAGAUACAUUCCAGUCCUUCAAGUCCCUUUAACUGCCUCCUACCAAAAGCAAAUAUCAUAGUAAUCCACCAACCAAAGUAACAAGGGAACUACUUGUAACUUCUUAGUUCACAAGUACAUACCAGUUGAGCUAUCCAAUUAUUCUAAAUAAUAUGGUUUGAUACCUUUACCAAAGUCUCAACUUGUAUUCAUUUUAAAGCUUAUACAAGAUAUUAUAUGUUAUGGCUUAACAGUCUCCAUGACACAAUAUGGCUUGACUUCACAGUUUAAUUCUAUAGGAUUAUCUUACCCUGUCUUCAGCAUCUCUAAUUGCAUCUGUCUCAGAAGUGAUGAUGAAUUGUUUUGUAUCGUUAUUCACCAGGCUGCACGCUGCAGAGCAAAAACUAAAUAACUUCAGAAGCUUUUCUAUGUCAGGUGAAAGAGAGAGAAAAAGACCGCCCGCCCCCCACCAAUAAUCCAAAACUGAGCUUCUAUUAGACCCCUUAAGAACGAAACAAGCAUGCAAAUUGAUCUAUAUAUAAUUAAAACCUCACCAUAUGCUAUAUUAAUUGCUGUUUCCAUUUUAUCUCCAGUUAGCACCCAAAUUUUUAUGCCAGCUGCAGAAAGAGUUUCAAUGCAGGCUGGAACCCCUUCUUGCAGUUUGUCUUCUAUUGCAGUGCACCCUAUCAAUAUAAGGUCCUUUUCAAUCAACUCAGCCACCUACAGGGGAAGAAACAGAAGGAAAUUAUAUGGCAAUGUCCCAGCAAUAUCUUAAAUCAGAAUAUACAUUAAGUCUAUUACUUCAAAUUCCUUUUUCCUAGAAAUCACAGUGAACUUAGUACAUGAAAGAAUGAAAGGAUAAUGCUUUUCUAAUGGGGAUUUGAAAAAACAUCAUAAAAAUAAUAAUAUAAAGUACUGUAUGUUCUUGUUCUAGAUAAAUUACAAAUAUCUUUUGCUCAUGAUCCUCUUUCCUGACUAAAAAAUAUAUAUUAUUAUGUAAAAUACUAAUGUUCUAUGGCAGUACAAGAUAAUAAAUUAGCACAAAAAACUAUUAAACUGCAAAUGUCAGCUGUUAGGGAUGGAUGACAUGACUCCUGUAGUUUUGGGGGGAGAGAGAGAGGAGACACACUGAACAAAUUACUUCCUUCGUCUCCAAAGAUUGCCAUGCCACAUUCUAUUCGGUCAGUCAACCUUUUACAACUUCAAAAUUAACAAUUAUAAGUGAAUUGAAUUACUACAUGAAAAAUAACAGCACUCAAUUUGCUUGCAUAAUAAUUUGUACGCAAAACUUUUGCUUGUAUAUUAGCAUAGAAAUCAUAGCCAGAGUUUUAUGUUGGGAGAAUAUAAAAUUAAAAAAUGGCCUACAUUUGUCAGGUACAUUCAGUUAAUUGUUUCCAAAACCAAAUUAAUUUUCAUACAUAAAUACCAAACGGAUCAAUAGCAUGCUCAACAGUGCACAUGAGACUCGAGUUCAGUACUGGAUGACAGAAAGUAAAAAAAAUCAGGCAAGCACUAGAAGGUGGAGGGGAAGUAAUCGAAAUUCAAAUCACAGGGACUGUUCAGCCUGUAUACUCAACAGAAGAGGAUGGUACACAUACCUCAUCAAGCUUCUUAUCACGAUCUCGUAAAGAAGAUUUAGCUUGAACAAACUUCUCAUUCCAGCUUUCGUACUGCUCCCUGCUUAGAUCUCGAUAAGCAAGGCAAAGCGUGCGCAAGCCAGCAGAGCCAAAUUGUUCUAGAUGUUCUCUGCUUGUCUUUUUAAUGUCAUGAUUUCCAUCAGCUAACCGUUCAAAAAUGACAUUAUCAGCGCCCUGUUACACAACAUUUGUAUAAGGUUAGUGCAUCAAUCUACAAAGUGAUAGCUACAUAAAGAUUCUUUUUUCUUGUAUUACCUUGCAAUACAGAACAAGUUUUCCAUUUGGGAAACGGCAAACCACAGAUUGGCGCUUUCUUGUACUGUGAGUGCAGUAAAGUGUGAAGUGCAGAACAAUGAUUUCAUCUUGUCAAAUUUAAAUUGAAAACAGAUAAACCAGACCUGUUGAAUUCCAAAACAUUCAGAAUUUCAUAUGCAACAUCUUGUAUACUCCCCAUCCUCUCAACAUGUGAUUCCCGAACCAAGACUGUGGUUGGCGUACGUCUACAAGACAGGCACAAAAUGUCAACCACCGGCAUUGCCAUUCACAAUAAAAAUGCCACAUGAAAUAAUUUGCAACAAAAAUCAUAAGAACUUAGAUGAGUUCAUGUUCACAGCACUUGCUUUAACACUUGUCUUAAUUUACAACGGCAAUUUUUUGUUGAUGGGCUAAUAGUUUAUUUAUGCUUCUUAGUAUGUACAUUCAGUCCUUCAUACAACAAACUAUAUAAGCAAUAACCUGGGUGAGUGACUCUUUUAUGCACAUUUUCCUUGGGACCAUAGCAUAGUUUUUUAAGAUACCUUGUUUGCAACAAACUGAUAAGAGGAAUCUAUAACUGUAUUUAAAGGCAAGGUAAGACAUGCCUAUAAAAGAAGAAACCAAAAUUCUUCGCAGCAGCGACAAGCGCGGCCUCGUCGGGAGAGGCAGCUUGAUAAGUAAUCUUUUCCGGUGUCUCCUCACCCUCAGGAAGAACUGUAUGACAGAUUGCAAGGCAUCUGCAGAAUUGCUAUAGAGCAAAUAACAAAGUUGUUACACAACUAGCACAUUAACAAGGGAAAAUGUGAAAAAGGAAAAUAGGUUCCAAAUUUUAUUAGUAAGGGCAUAUAUCGUGAUAUGUGAAUAAUUUGUGUCAACUAAAUCAAAACUGAUUAUGACCAAAGGGGAACCAAUCGAACUAUUCCACAGGUAGUCCCGUAUUUACCACGCAAGCAUCAGGAUUAGGUUCAUUUCUCCAUGCACCACGCAUUAUUCUAGCAUCAUCAAAGUUGAAUCCUUUCUCAUGAACUGCAGUGGCUGAUCUUUUACCCUAAAAAAGGCAAGUAAACUGGAUAUUAAAUCAGUUGUGCAUUAAAUUUUUCAUCAUAUACCACCACACUUCAAUAGCGUAAACAACAAAGAAAAUGUUGUAGACCUCAUCAUCAUCAAUCUUGACUCCGGCUCGCUCGGCUCCUCCUUUUUCAAUCUCUGUGAUGCCAGUUCCAUAUAUUUCCCCUCCAAUCGAACAUUUAAAGAAUUCCAUCAAGUUUCUUGUAAGUGUUCCAGUUUUGUCAGAAAAUAUAUACUCAACCUGAACCAUUAGUGGGGCAAAAAAAAUUUGGCAGAAAUGUCAAAUUAUUUGCAAGUGUUAAGUGCAUUUUAGUACCACUCGGCAUUUGUUCAGUCAUAUAAGCAUUUCUGGGGAUCUAGAACAGUUUUUCGGUGGGAGUAAGUCACUUAAUAUUAGUGAAAUGAGACUGUUCCCCAAGUGCUUAUAAUUGAUCCCACUUUCUGGAAUGAGUCGGUGCAGUGAGGUCAUUCUAUCCAUUAACCAAACCCAGCCAUAUAGGUCAAAUAAGUAAAUAACCCCAUUUCAGCAACAAACAAAGGGGCUUUCAUCAAACUAAACAGAAUGCUAAGGAACAAAAAAAAAACUGAUAUUACCUGCCCAAGCUCCUCAUUCAGAUUAGAAGUCCGAGCCAAAGCUGGGGUGUUGCUCUCGGCAUGAUACAUAUUCAGAUCAUUGUUAAUAAACUUUGCACACUGAAUGAAUUUGAUCAUCUGCCAGCCAAAAUAAACAUAAGGUCCAAUCCAAAUACAGGGUACACUAAAUGAUAAAUUGGUCAAUAUACCUCAAUGGAUACAUAAAGAGAAAUGGGGAUGAUCGUUGAGUAUAGAGUUAUUAGAGUAAACAUAGUUAAAAUGGUCACCUGCAAAAGUACAAACCUAUGAUAUAAGGCCACUUAGAGAAUAUUCUCUACAAUAAAUUAACUAAAAUAAUAUAUACCACAAAUCUGUUCUUGGGAUUAAACUGGUCCUCGACACGCCCACGCAAUCCAAGAUAGAAGUAUUUCUCAUUAAUAAACACGCCACUGUUCACAAAAGCCAAGUAUGAUGAGUCCAUUGGUAGAGUUUUAGGUUUCUAAAGAACGUGCAAGCUAAGCAGUCAUAGUUACCAAAAUCUAUAUGCUGAACAGAGCACUUCCAUUUCUGACCAUCUAGAAAGUGCCCUAUUAUGUACCUCCCACAUAAAACCACUAAGAAAAAAGAUAAGGCUAUUAAGACCUAGUCAUGUGCUCAUCUAUACUGCUCCUAUGCCACAAUAAAAAAAUAACUUCCCCAAACAAGCUCCUGACAACUCAUGUCAUAAUGUUUAAAGUUUAUCUCUCUAUUAACAGUUGUUUUUUCAUGAUCAAUUAAAUUGUGAAAAAUGAUUGUGCAAGCAUAAGCCUCCACAACAUCAACCUAACCGAUAUAACUCAUGUUCAGAGAAUAUACAUGUAAACAAUAAUACAAGAUAGAUAAGUCAAAUAAAUGAAGUGGGCCAAAUAAAACACUGACCUUCCAAUAGCACCAAUGACACACAUCGUAAAGAGGGUUGCAAAUAGAGCAAGAAUAAGCUUGUCUAGUUUCUUCUCCAAUGUACUUCUUUUAGAGGGAACAUUCAUAGAAUUCAUCAUAACCUGCAAUAGUGUCCCACUGCAGUAAAUCUCAAAACUAGAAGCACAUCUAACCUACAAGUUGAAUAUAUAGGGACACAAAAUUGCACAUACUUUCGUCUCAUGGCCCGUGAAUAUAACAGCCGCGACAAUGUACUCUGUAUUACGAAGGCUGCAUCCCUGUGGCAAAGUGGUAAUAAGAGGUUGCAUGUGUGCCACAUAAAGAGAGAGAAUUAAGUGUCAUGCAAGACACCGUUCAGUCUGGUGAAAGUAAACAUUUCUUUUGCACUUUACAAACAUUGCUUCAACCCUUCACCACUUAUCCUACAUAUGGGACUAGAGAAGAAAUGGAAGUUGUUUAUAUGAAUGUUAAACAUUUCCAAAUUGUUUAUAUCAUAGCUAUCCUUGUUUGCAAACCAAUAAGAACAAUAUUAUUAUAGAGGUGUUUUAUGAUGAAAAUUUCUGCUGGUGACAUUUGGGUGUCGUCAAUAUUGGUAUUUGGAGGAGAUGUUGGUGAUCAAAGUUAAAGGCCGAGUAAAGGCAUCACGCUAUGAUGUUAUUUUUUACCUGAGGGAUUUUCUUAACAAACUCAUGCUAAAUCUAGAACAUGCAAACAACUUUGCAGGUGGACAAUCUUGUAAAGAAAUUUCAAGGGCAUGUUUGUGUGAGGGGUAUUACUUUGGUACGUGUUGGUAACUACAUACCUAAUUGUUACAAGAAAAAUCUCAUCCAAACAAGCCCUAAGGACAUUAUGGACCUUGCUACUGCAAAGUUGGUAAGUCGAAAAUACGACAGGAUGUCUGAUUGAUAUGUAGGACCUGGACCCACAUGUCAUUCUCACAGCGAGUCGCACUAUUUCAAAUGUCAACUUUGUGGUGGCAUGGUUUCAAUUUUCCCAAUAAGAAACUAGAUACAAAUAGCAUAGAUGAACAGCACUUACCCUUAGUAGUAUUUGAUUUGGUGAAAUUGGUAUAGUUUGCUUGUCCACAAUAAGGUUCCCGGUAAAUGUAUAAAGUGAAUUGUUUGGCUGUUCGCAUUGUAUUUCACCUGUAAGCCAUGAAACAUACAGAUAAUGUGAAGUUAAGAAAAUGUAGAAUAGUUAAGUGAAGUUCAGAAAAGGAGCAAUGCUUCCUACACCAACUACCGAAAAAUGUCUGCAACAUGGAACAAGAAUAGAUAAAAACCUUUGAAUUCAGAAGCCUUUUCAGGAAUUACGCAGUCCCAGGUUUUCUCCAAAGCCUUCCUUAUUUUCAGGUUAGUUUCCCCAUCAAGAUUUGCUGUCUAAGGUAAAUAGAAGUAUGAUACACUUCAAUUAAAACAGAGUUUCUCUAAAUCAUUCAAUAAUUUCAAUUUGGACAAAAGAUGGAGAAGGUAAGAAUGAAUAUAUUGACCUCUAUGUAGCAGACACCAUCAGGGUUCGUACUUGAUAGGAAGAGCAAGUCAGAAGGAAAGUAAGUGUCUUGCUUGAUCUGCUCUAAAGAAGUGCCAUCACUAUUAGUCUUUUUGGAUAUGUGUAUCGAGCUGAAGAUUAAAUUUGCACAGCACAAAAGAUCAAGUGCAUUAAUUUGUGGAAGCAACAGAUCAAUUGAAUUGAUCAUCAAAUUGCUAUCAGGAAAGAUGAAGACAUUACCCUCACAAUAUCUCCAACCUGCAGUCUUUUCCAAGGGGCACUUUCCCAUUUUUGACCUUGCAAUACAUCGACGUGCGCAUUAUUAAUUGACAUGUCAUUCUGGAAACGUUUCUGUAUAAUGGGAGGCAAACAAAAAGGGAAGAAUAUCAGAUAACAUUAAGAAUAGCAAUAAAAUAGUGGAGCAACAGAGCAUGAGAGCAAUACUAACCCAGUCCUCAAAAGCUUCCUUGAUGAGUGAAACCAAAAGCACUAAACUAAGUGGAACCACAUUGGUGACAGGGUGGACUGGACUGCGAAGAUACAAGCAUGUAUGAACUAAGAUUUCUAGAAGUAAAGGUGAAGGAAAGCAAAGGAUGACUGAAUCAACUGAUGGACUUGAUAUGCUAAGAAGUGUCUAGCUGUAACAUGAGAAUUCCAUAGGGUGCAUGCAUGAGAGAGAGAGAGAGACCUAAUUGGUGUAGUCGACAAGAUUGAAAUCAUAAGAAAGUAAAGAUUUGCCACCCGUCUGAACUGUCAAAGCAAAAAAAAAAACAAAUGAAUUACAAAAGGUUCCUAUGGUCAAAUUGCGAUAAUACAGAAAGGGAACAUCUAAAUCGGUGUUACAGCUACCAUUGCAAAGUUUCUUUAUUCGAUAUGGAAAAAUGCAUUACAUGUUUAAUGUAUGAAGCCAUUGAAAUACUUUAAUGUACCUUACGUAAAAAACAGUGGAUAAUGAAAUUGCCAGAAUUAUGGUAUCGCAUAAAAUGAAGGUUACAUUGAGCGAAAAGCAUGAUCAGGGCUUUACCAAAUAACAAAAUCAUACUUCUCCUUUUCUCAAUAUAUGGCAUUUUAGGUUUCAUUGAAGACAAGUCUUUGAAAAGGAUUUACUUUGUGUUGUUUUUAAGGCAUGAAAUUUAUAUCACUAGAUUCAUCCUCAAAAGUACUUAAUGUGGAUUCAUAUCAUAUAAAUCACAUAUUAAUGAAGUAAUUCUUGGUCAAAGUCUUGUAUUAACGAAACCUAAUAUGUCCUGUAUUGACAAAAUGAGGGAGUAUAUUAUCUAACAGUGCAUGUAUACAGGCACGAUACUGGUAGCGCGUAUUACAAGCAAGGUAUCUUAAAAACAUUGCAACACAGUGCCAGACCAGGUAAGCAACUAAGCAUCUCAUGUAUCCACUAUUUUAAGGGAAGUUGAUCCAGAGUGAGGAAAUAAACAUUUUUAAGGAGAUAUAUCAAUUUGCAAUGUGAAAAUGAUACGGAGUAGUAUAAUCAUUUCACUGUGAUAACAAAUACUCCCUCCGUUCUAAAUACUUGUCGCUGUUUUAGUGCAAACUAAAACAGCGACAAGUAUUUAGGAACAGAGGGAGUAACUUCCAUUUACCGUUAGACAUGAUACAAAAUAAUAUGUUGAAAAAAAAUCUAGCCAAAAACUAAAAAACAAACAGAAAAUCUGCAUUAAACGAUGACAAACCCAGCAGGUAUGUUGAUUAACAAAAUAUGUAUGAACAAAAAACAACGCAUCAAUACCUGUUCAAACAAUCCUUUAGGUAGAAAUGUCAGCACACUGUACUUUGUAGUCGACACAGAAUUUCCCUGGAAAUGUAGAAUGAGAAUGUUAAAGAACUAAUUCUAGCAGAAAAACAAAGUAGCGCUCUGCAUUAGAAUCGCGAUGGUCUGAUACCCAACAUGAGGGAGAUUCUGAAACUAAACAGAAGAGCUAAUUGCAACUAGAAGCAUGAAAAAAGUAUAGCUUGAUCUUUUUACAACAUCAAGUCUGAAUACAUUCAAGCAUUUACACUAACUUGGAACAAAAUGUGGGUGUCAAAGAAAAUGCAUGAAUACACCUACUUACAAUAAAGCACCAAUUUUGCAGUGAUUGGACAAACUAUGGUUAAAAUACUUAAUAAUAGAGUUCUACGUAUUUGGAGGCAUAAAACGCAUUGCAGUUGGAGCAGUGGCAUUAUCAUGUUAGUCAGUCUAACAUGGCAGUGAAUGACGUGAAUUUUUUGCUAGUUUAGACCUCUGGCCAGCGCAAUUGACAAAAAUGCCCCCCUCUCAAAACUAAUGCCAAAAAUGGUCUGGCAGAAGGCCCGAAAGGCGCCACAUUUCAUUUUUCGCCAUCUGAGCUGCGCAUGCAAACAUUCCGACAACCUGAAAGGCGGAAAGGCCGUUCCGCCUACUGCAUUUGAUGAAUGCACCUGACAAGGGCGGAAGGUGAACUGGGCCCUGCAGAUGGAAGCAAUUUCCACAUUUGUUACAGACCUGGAAUCUUUUUUUUUGUUGGAGUCGACGGACCAUGUAUGUGCGGAUGCAUAGGAAUCGGCAAGCAGCCUAGCUGCUAGUUCACGGGCACGUUUUACAUUUUCUUUCCUCAGGUUUGGCUAGUGCUACCACGUUGAUACUAAUCAACGCUUCUUGUGAAUGGGCUUAGUUGCUUCUACUAGUCGUGCGAGCGUUAAUCUUUUCUCUGUGCGCCUGCAUGUGCGGGCGUGGGAAUCGGGUCAGGUCCCUGCAGACAGCACGCCUGGCUGCACUGGGCCUGCUUCAGCUUCCGCCCCUGAAAAUUCACUUUCGUCCAUUUCAACUGGAAACAAGUAGGCUCCACCUGUCCUGUUGGCGGAAAGUUCAUUCCUCCUACCCAGUGGCCACUGGGUCAGUUGCUGGGCUUUCCACCACGUCAUUUUUCAAAUUAUAUUUCAGAUGGAGCUAUUUUUGCCAAUUCCGUUUGACAAGGGGCUACAAGAGCAAAGAAAUUGAAUGACAUAGCAAGCAAUCAAUUUCCCCUUAUAGGUAAAUAAUAAACAGCUUUGCUUCAGCUUACUGUCAUCAGCUGGUGGCUGACUGCCCUGACCAAACACAAGUUCAGUAAUCUACACAGCAAGCGGCACACAGGUGCAGCUAAGCACAUGGAUGAACAGAAUAUUCCAGCCAUUGAGGCUCAGCUCUCGAAGCUUAAUGCCAGGUGGCAUCUACAUUGUAUUGCAGCCCGUAGCACCCUGAUUGACUAGUAACCCAACAAUGAGACAAGCUCUAAUCCACCCAAUGACCUCACAGUUGGCAAGAAAUGCAGCCCUUAGUGACACGCACCACCCUACAUAACUUUCUCGUGGACUAAUCAGUAUGAAUCAUAUAAACCCUCUGCAAGCUGCAGUGAAAUAAAACUACUACUACUGAACUAGCUAUUGUCCCAGAUGGCCAUCUCCAACCCAACCGCCCAAGCAUGAAACAAGGGGCCAGUUACGAGAUCUAGGCCUACAGACCCCUAGACCUUGAGACAACCGACCUGUUGAUCAUCCGAAUUAGAGGAGGAGGUGCACACCCGUACCUUGUACCCGACCGGCGCGUUGGCUUCGCGGUCGUUGCAGUAGAUGGUGCGCACGGUGGGUGCCUGCGGCUGCGGCUGCCGUCGGAGGCUGCCGCCCCCGCCGCCGAGACGCGCCGUCCUGGACGCCUCAGCGCGGCCGGCCUGAGAGGUCCCCCCCCGCGGCGACUGCUCGCCGCCCAGCCGCGCGGUGGCAACCCGCAUCAUCUCCUUUAUGCGCGAGCUCAUCCUGCCCCCCUCAGCGCCAAACCCAGCGCUGGAGGAGCCGGCGGGAGAUCUGGGGAAACCUCACGGUGGAUCGGAGGGGAGACCUAGUCGGAUUUGCGCGGCUUUCUGGUGGAUUUCAGUGCCUCGCUGAGGAGGGGAUUCGAUUUGGGUCACGCGUUCCCGUAUGUGCGUAUUUUUUCCGUGUAAUUUUUUUGUUUUGCCUUUUUCUUUUCCUUUGGCUCCGGGAGAAGAGAAGACAGGAGGGGAAGGAAAAGCGAAGGUCGCGACUUCGCGAGGAAGAAAAUGAAGGGAUUACUGCAGAUCACACCCUUGAUUAUUUUCGAAUAUGGAAAGCUCCAGUAACUGAAGUUUGAAAUUCCAGCCGCGUUUGUCUUUUCCUUCUUCGAGCAAACAACCGUGUUCUUGACUUGUUCUAUGUUUUUGCUGUCCGGAGGACUACCCGAUUUGCAAGUAAAUAAUGGCAUUAAUUUCAUAUAAGCACUUUAGGACACCACACUUGACAUGGUUUUCUACUGACGACGACUAUAUGGUGGCUUUGAUGUUCCAUGAAUAGAUCUUUUUAGCGGUGUUUCAAGUUCAGGUGUUAUAACAAAGCAUUACUCUUGACCUAUCUUCCCUUGCGACCAUGCUUUUUGAAUCGCCAAGUCGAGUCGAAUCGCCCCCCAACAGACUUGGAGGUUAGUAUGAUUAGUCAGAAACUAGUCUCGACUAAUCAACCCAAGUCGAGCCUAGUGAUCAGUGAGGUUUAGGGAGCUCUAGCAGGGAGCAUUAGAGGAAAGGAGUGAAUUGCAGUAGAGGGGAAGCACGAGGGAACAGUUUUUGUGGUGCUGGAGCUUGAAGAAGAGGUUCAUGGCGGCUAGGAUCUAGGAGUCGAUAAACUUAGAACGCCCGUGUUGAGGCAAACGCGUUGAGGAAGACGACUUCAAAGGUGGUUGGCUCAUUAUCAGGAUAGGUGCGUGCCUGGCAGCCCAUAAAGGCCUAUUAGAAAACCCUAACUCCCCCCUCCCCCCCCCCCCCACACACACAUUGCCUUCUUCUACACCACACACGCACCAAUGGCGGCCAUCUUCUUCCCCUUCCCUGCUGCUCCCCAUGCCUUCUCUCCCUCCCCGAAAAGAAAUAUCUUCCGAAAAUUCUUCUCUUCGAGUCAAGUUGAGGGGCUCGCGGCGUUCCUAGUCACGGCGGCUAGUCGGAGAAGUCGCGGUUCUAGCUGACGAGUCGCGCGACUUGCUCUGCUAGUCGAGUCGCGGCUGCAAGCCGCCAUCAUUGUGCUGGCUCGGCGACUAGUUGGCGAUUCAAAAACCAUGCUUGCGUCUUAUAAUUUUGUUUCCUCUUAGAUUUUUUUCAAUUAUGUAUGGAACUCUUUUAAGCUUGGCUAACAUAUUGGGUCAAUUUGUCUCCCAUUGAAAAAAAAACAAUUUCCUAUAAAAAAUAAAGUAUCCACAAAACAAUAUGCAUAGCGCAGUUGUUUUCAAAGUUGUGGAUGAAACUUUGUGUUGUACAGGCAACCACUUAAUAACUUGUUCGGUUGUAGAAUUCCCCGCAUGUAUUGAAGAGGAUUAAGAGAGAUCUAAGGAAAAUUGAUCUGCAAUUCGAUCAUUCCCUCUUAAUCCCCAUCGGAGUGGAAUCAACCGAACGGGGCUAAUGUGGACCAUAUCACCUUGAGGACUCCAUUCUUCUUUUAUGGCAACGUUGCAUGGACCUUGAUAUGAACGCACGUGCCUGCAAUCUCUAUUAUUUUUUCGUAAAUAGCAACUGUCCUUUCUGUAUCUUGUAAUAUGUUUUCUACAAUUUUAUUUGGGAUAUUUCGUCAAGAACCCAAAUCGAUUACAUUUUCCACUUUGGCGAAUGAGUCAAGAUUCUCCAUGUGUUCCAGCGAGGCAACUGCGAGCUACACAUGUAUGGUGAAACAAGCCUCGCAACUUCGUAAGUAACUCCAAAACUACAUCAGCACGUCUCUUGAACUUUGGAAACACACAGACGUGUUCCACGACCGUGAGGCGACGGAGUUAACGGGGCAGCGUUGCCGGAAAGACAAGAGUACCGUAACAAGGCCCAGACUGGGCUGCAUCGGCGUUCUGCCUCUAUUACAAGCGAGAGAUGUUGAACCGGCCAAGGUUAGGCAAGGCAGUCAGCGGGAGGAUUUUUUUUUUUUUGUUGUUGGUUUUGAAGAGGCGCGGGAGGAGAAGAACUUGCUUGACCAGCCCACAAGAUCGUGAACCGGUAUGACAUUGACAUUUUAUUUAGGGCCAGUAACGUGUAAUUAGAAGUACUAGCUUACAUCUCUUCCUUUUUGAACCGUCAGAUCUGCAACCAUAUCAUCUCUCCCCUUUGUCCUCUUCGCUAUGCCGAUUUUAGUGAAACGCCGCUGCCAAAUCUUCACAGGAUUGUGAACCGGCAGCAGCUUCGACCCUUCAAUAUUAUUAUUACAGCUAAAUAAAAGACUGAAAUUAUAGGUGAGGUCCUUUGUUCUAAUCGCCCAAGCGAGCAGAAGCCAAGAGAUUACGUGCAAGCAUAGCAUGGCCAUGUUCGCCAACUCAUGACAUAGUGGCACAGGGACUAACCACCUGGAUUACAUGGCUAGCUUCCAUAUAUGUGCAACAAAAUAUUGGUACCAGGCAGCCAUCUGUGCCACCAACCAUAAACUCCCUGAUCCCAAAAAAUACAAAAUACCAAGAGUUUCCACCCACAUCAGUACAAGUGCACAACAGUUUAAGAGACAAGCCAAGGAUCAUUCCCAGUUUGUGGGAAUAAAUAAGAGUCCGCAGCAAACAGAAAACUCAAAAUCGCUGGCAAAGUUAGGAUGUGGAAAAAAGAAAGGCUUAAAAUGAUCUAGCCAUGGCGUCAGAAUCUAUUAUCAAUGUUUCUCUCUCAAGGAUUUCCCUUCUAUAUAAAGUAUAAUAUUACAAAGGGGCUGCUUAAAUAUCAUGGACUCCUGGAAUGUAAAGAGGGUAAUAAUCAACACUACAUGAGCCUCCUUUUUCCUGAGGCUGCUUCCUAAGACUGACUGACUGCUUCCCCGAGGAUCCACAUACACCCUCCCCUCUCCUCAAGUUCCACCUCCCACCAUGGAAGUUAAACCCCCACCAUGGAUCCGAUGCUAACCAACUGUACGCGACCUGGAGAAAGUCAGUCAGCUUGGUGGUUCAAUCAAGACAGAGCAUCACGAUAUUGCCCAAAUGGUAUAAUUGGCAGGAUCAAUAAGUAGUUUAUGCUCGCAGCAAGAUCCAAAAGAACCAAUCUACCAUGACUAAUGUAUGACAAGAAUGAUGUCUUAUGUCUACUUUCAGAUACACUAUGGUCCAGGUGAAACAAUAUUUUAAAGUUUAGUAAUUACUGGCAGUAGUAGACAGACCACAGAAGUGUAAAGAUAUUUGCACACAUGACCUUUUAAUCCAAGGCUAACCCAACCUUGUAAGCUACGUGCUGUUUGUGCUAACGCUGCUGCUUGAAUGCAAUUAGACAGUGGUGAUGUCCUUGUUAGUCUGUUACAUACCUAAGGCAUCACCUCCUGAUUCUAGGUUUGCACCGGAACUCUGCUAAGAGCGCUAUGUGAUCUGAUGACCAUUCAGGUGAAGGAAGAGCAGUGUCUUUUCUUAAGCUCUCCUCAUCCAGAAGUUCCAACAAAGACUCCACGGUCAACGAAUCCGCUGAAACAAUAAAGGAAACAUGAUCAACUGACCAUAAUCAAACAUAUCACAAUACUACAAGCUGAUUCUGAAGCAAUUCCCAGAAGUCUAAAUACAGCAUACAGGUCAGGUACCUACCUGUGUAAAAUAUAUAAUCAACAGUUCCAGUGAAAUCCCUUGUGCAAUUUGUGAAAAGUGGUUCAUUUGUUCCUGGAUCCAUCCUCCUUCGCUGGUGCUCUAAAUCAUAGCCAACACCUACCAUUCUUGCAAAUGAAGAAUAUGCACUGACCUGCAAACAAGUAAACAUUGGUCAGAAUUUUAAAGGAAGAACAAGAUAGACAAGCUUGAUAGUUUUACUGUACCAGAGGAAGCUGGUGCGUCAACUUGCUCACGGGGCGUAAAAUUGAAAGUGGGUCUAUGGCCAGAUCUGGAUGCAAUUGAUCAACUUUGCCCACCGCAAGAAGCCCAUGUGGAGUACUGAAAGACAAAAGGAAGCACUUAGAGAUUUAAAGUUAGAAAAAACAAGUAAACCUGAAAAAUAUUGCUCCAAUAGAAUCUUGACAUGCACCUCCCCGGGAUUGAAUUGAAAUCCCCACAGACCAACAUUGGAAUGUCUGCACUGUUGGCUAUUUUCUCCAAUCCUUUUAGUAGUGUUUGAACCUGCAAAAAACAUACUUACUUUCGAUCUGAAUUUUUCAGAUGUUGCAGAAUGCUAGCCUACAGAGAAUGUGACAAUACUGACCUCCCAUAGUUUCACAUCUUUGAGGUCUUGGUGGACAUUUACAUGUGUAUUGGCCUGAAAUUUGAGAUCAUUUAAAAGAAUGAGACCUCCAUGACUCCAAGUAGCAUAAGCCUAGGCCGUAUGAACAAUGGGAAAUCUGUAGUAAAGUUGGCCUCAAAAUCUAGAGUCUAGAGAGCCAAGUCCCAAUCAUCCGCCAUUAACAUAUAGAUGUUUCCGUGCAUCUUAUGCUACUAAGGUCAUCCUACACAGAUAUAUGUUUCACUUCAUUCCUAAAUGUUGUGAGCAAAGAAGGAAAAGAAUCCAUAUGUUGUUCUGCACUAUGCUGCUAGCAGUUCAAUAGCUAAACAUACGGGAAAGUCCACUUUUGGCCCCUUAACUAUUGCCUCAGAUCAAAAUCAUCUAAUUUGCACCCUCAACUAUCAAAAGCAUCCAAGUUACAUCUGAAGGCAAUAUUUGUUAGAGGCUUUGUGUGAUGUGGCAUCCAUGUCAACGUGUUUUGCCACAUCAAUCGCUGCUGGGCAGUAGGGCCCACAUAUCAUGGCUGCCGUGCCCCUUCUUUCUUUAUAAUUCUUCCUCCUUAGCCAUGCCAUGGCCUCCUCUGUAGGCUAUAGCUUCCACUGCUGCUGCUACAGAUAACCCAUGUUUGACGUUGCAUAACAUCUUCUGAUUUAGAGAGGGGUAUCCUGACAGACAUGUACCAGUCUCCGCAAACCGCUGCACGGCUGCAUCCUGAGGGGAAUGGACAAAGAGAGGAUUAGAGAGGAAGGCUGAGGAGGGAGGCGUUUAGGGCGACUCCAACACGGCCACCCAAAUCGGACACAAAAAGUGUGUCCGUUUGGGUCUGCUGGUGCCCCUAACACGGUCACCCAUUUGGUCCGUUUUAUUAUUUAGUAUUGGCCACGGAUAGGCGGGCCAGGGCAAGGACAAGGGAGGACAAGCGCAGUGUCCACCCGCUGUCCGCCCAGACACAAACCCGGUCAGAUUUGGGUCGGCAAUGGGUUGAGCUGGACAGAAAAGCAGACAGCCGCCACACCGGACGAAAUGGGUCGCCGCGUUGGAGUCACCCUUAAUGCUAAGCUGGGAAAGAGGAAGGGAACAGAAAUAAGAGGAUGAGGACAAGGGAGGGAGAAAAGGGUGCUUCCAAAAAAUCAAUCCCAGGCAUGUGGGGCCUACUGCCCAGUGGAGAAUGAGAUGUCAAAGUUGCUGAUUUGGCGGCUACAUACAGAAUAUCACUCAUGAAACCAGCUUCUGGUCCUAUCGAACGGUUUCAUGAGUUGAUGGUUCAAUUUAGACCAGGCAAAAGUUGAGGGAUCAUAAUUAGGCUUUUCCAAACAUAAAUGAAUGUCAUGCUGUAAAAGUAGUGUUCGUCAUCCAGUAAACUGGUUCGAAUAUCCAACAAGCGCACAACUACUUUAUACACAUCUAAAGAAAGAACAGCUAUUUACAUACCACACAAAGGAGCUGCCUUUUACCAGGAGUUUCAGUUCCUUGGUUGCCAAAUUUUGCUUCUAAAACCGCAAUCAGCGCAAUAUUAUCCUUCAAAGCAAAUAGAACGUGUGAUAAAUAACAUCACUUUUUUUUGCGAAAAGUGAUAAAUAACAUCACUGUAGCAUACAUUAUUUCUUUUGAAGUUAAUCUUACUUUAAUCAGUCGACUUAAAGCCACUCUUUUCUGGGAAGCUGGAAUAAUAGCUUCUGUUAAAGACUGUGCAGCCUUAUUGAACUCAACCUACACAAGCAAGUACAAGUAUUAGAUAGCUGCAAAUAUCAAGCUGCUGCAAACCUGCAGUACAGGUACCUCGUAUUUUUUGACAUGUGAAAAUCUAUCUCUACGGAAGAAAGUAGCACAGCCAUCAAUGGCAUUAGGAACUCCAGCAUACACCUGUGACAACAGUAAAGUAAAAUCAAACAAGAGACAAAAGGUAUUAAACCAAAAUAUGAAGGAAAAAAUCAACCCAAAGAUACCUCUGUUGUCCGUUUCUUGUAAAGCGCCUGAUACCCAUGUUUAUCAAACUCAGGAGCAAAAAAAUCCUCAAAGUGGUUCAAUUGUACCUGAAAACAGUAGGACUUGGCUUAAUUCCCUCCUGUUACAAUCUUCGGUCACUCUUCGUUUUUAUUGUAAGCCGCUUCAGUAAACUCUUCAUAAUAUAUAUGCAGACAAUAUUCGUGAAAGUUUAAACAGCAAGCAAACUAUCAUAAAUUCAUAAUCCAACAUCACUGAAAAGUGAAAACAAUCAAACAAAGUGAUGGCACAAAUAUGGAAACGAACAGCCCAGCAGUAUAUGAAAGAUUGUAGGUUGAUGAACAGGGUUCCGGCAUUAAAGUUUACCGAGUCGCAAAAAUUAUAUGAUCAACCAAAUGAGACAUGCUCGGUUCCUAAAACAAAUAUAUGAGAUGAAAAGCUGAAAAUAGGUCACCAAAAUAAAUAAAUUCAGAAGAUAGCAAACAUAUGAUACCUCCUGAAGACAUAUAAUAUCAGCAUGAUAACCAAUAAUUUCGCGCAUCAAAUUUUGUCUUCUGUAAGUCCAUGAAAGUGCCCACGUUGGGCAGUAGCUAUAUGCAUCAGAUGUAGCAUAUGCAUCAGCAAGAAUAUUAUAGGACAGCACCGUGAAUGUCCCAAAAGAAGAAGUCUGGCUGUCUAUAUCUGAGUGACCCAAAACAUCUCCAUUCACUUGGAUAAGGCGGCGUGGAGUAGGAGUUGGUGCUGGAAUCACACGUGAUGUCAUAAUUGAAGUUGGAGACCCCGCAGGUACUUUCUUUUCCGUAUCCACCGCUGCACAUUCAAAUCUUAGAACAUGCCCAAUAUCAUCAGCAGUUGGUGUAUACGUCUGCGAGCGUCCCACUUCAAACCAUGUUUCACCCGAGUUCUUAUCAGUGCCUGAGGGAUACAAGGGAACAGGUCCAUUAUUAACUCCAGGGCUCUGUCCAAGAUUUGACAUUGAGCCAGACCCAGAACUUAGAAUCCCAGAACUACCGCUGCCAAAUCUACCAAAUAGCUCCUCCUCUUCAGCUCCAUUUUCAUUUAAAGCACUACUAGCUCGCUCAUGCAAAACCCUGUGGUGCUGCCAUGCAUCAGAGAAGCACUUAGCAGAACAAUGGUAGCUCUUAGCAGCAGGUAUUUUUGACUUGAGACAACCUAAGCACUGAAUUGUUGCUUGCUCCAUCGGAUGUACACUGCAGAUAGUAACUUUUCGAUCACUCUGUAUGCGAUACCUUCGAGCGAAAAGUCAAAUCAGUAUAACCAUGUGCUACUAGAUACAGAAAAAGUUUAGAAGAACAUGAUUGAAUAUAGUAACUACAAGAAAGGACACCUAAAUUGCCAAUGUUUUAGCAUGUAUGAGAUCCAGGAAAACUUGCUAUCAGCAUCUUGGAAGUCCAUUAUUCAGAGACAUUAGACUCACAACACUUCCAUUAUAAGCAUAGUAUGAAUAAGGCAAAAUGAAGCAGGUUGCCAAGAUGUCGCAAAAAAAAAGAAGCAAAUUACAAGUUUGCUUGUCAUGAGUUGCUGCUGCUGUUGUUUUUUCUUGAUUUUAGUCCCUCAACCGGCUAACUCGUGAUCAUUCAUCUCUUGCUUUCUUUACCAGAUCAACCAUGCAACUGAUUUCUUUAGCGGACCAGGCAAUAUAUGUAAUAAGCAAAAUUCUACAGUUUAGAUCAGAGAUUCAGAGGACUAUUGCAGGCUCUCAUAUAUCAUCAUUAGGGCAUGACGACCAGACAAGGAAGUUGCUGUGUAUAUUAUUAUUCCUAGAAGAAAAACAUUUAAGUACUGUUCAAGGAGGCGACCAACUAUAGCCCAGUGCCCACCCCAUCAAUCGAUUAGUGUCUUUCAGAACACUUCAUUUCAACAAUGUGUCUAUAAAUGGCCACACUUACUAUACUCAAACCUCAAACCUUAAAAGUGAAUAAAGAUGCACAUAUCACAUGAGAUUCUAUCAAGCUAAUGACUGAAAAGCAACACAAUGAAAAUAUAAAAAACUAUAGAAUUGAAGGACCAAAACCAAUGAAACUGCAUGAGUGUUAGUGGGACCAAGCACCACCAUUUCGAAAAGUUCUAAGGUCUAAAGUCUCAGCAAUAAAUGCUAUUUAAACCUACAUGACAUUAAAAAAACGGAUGUGAUAAAACAAAUAAAUAUUCACGAACAUGAUCAAUCAUUCAGAGCGGGAUUCUAAAAUUGAUCACUGAAAUUGUUCGGCCACCCAGCUAUUAGUGAUUAUACAGCCGAGCUAGCUCAUUGCAGUGGGUGGCAUAACCAGCGGUUACAAGUUCUUUUCUCUCAUAUUUGCCUCUCCAUUUUUCAUUUUUUUAUUUCCAAAUAGAUCUACAAUGUUAUUUGAAUUUUAAAAAUAAUAGGUAGGGCACUCCUUACAUACAUGACCUCCUAGGCCAUUUAAAACAAAUAUGCAUUGUUUGGGGUUUUUUAUAUAACAUAAAGUAAGUUAACUAUGACACACUGCCAAAAUAUUUUUGCAUAAAAAACAUUAAAUUUGAUAUAGCACAGAAAGAACGUGGAUAUCCAGCAAGAGAUUAAAGAAGGCAAAGUGGGGCAGGCAGUCAGCAAAACAAAACUAGUGGAUCACGAGUUUCAAACUUUUACUAGCUUUAAGCAACUGAAAUAACUUGCCACUGAACCUAGUGAGCCAACAACUCUAACGUGUAAUAGCAAACAAGUAAUAAUUCUUUUGAAGCUCCAGAAUAAUCAAAACUGAGUCUAGAAUCAAGCUAGAAUGCCCAUUUGAGUUCACUGGUGAUGUUAGAGUGAUACUUAGUUCAAGGAGUAUAUCCAGAUACCCCAAUCAAAAAAAUCAUCUGAAGCCAUGCGAACAAACUGAUGGCACUUCUAGAAUAGUGUCUUUCCACAAAAUUAGUUAGAUAAGCCUAUGUAAUCCCAAAAUUUAUAAAAUGCUCCCGUUCCAUCCAAGAUGAACGUAAACAUUCCUGCACAACGAUUGGCAACAAUCCUCAACCCAACAGCCUUCAUCACCAUCCUAUGAUGCUAUCUAACACUCAAUAGUUCUAGCAAAACCAAAAUCAGAUGGUCUGUUUUGCUCAAUGAAUUACUUAUUAUCAUUACCAACCCGUGUGGCAGGUUGAUAUGGCAUAGACUAAAUAGUAUGAUUCAUAAACAGGCUUAAAAUAAUGCAAUACUGAGUUCUUUACCAAAUCAAGCAUUGGCAUUUCAUGUUCCCUGGGUUUCCAUUCGUUCCAAAAACAAACAACUGUCUUGCUAGAGAAAAUCAUGCUCAGAAUUCAUAUAGUUGUGCUUCAUUUAUGCAAGAAUCAAGACGAUUCAUGAGUUUAGCAAGUAGUUAAGCAUCUAGCAAACUGAUUGAUACUUAAAGCCCCCAUUUUCUUUUUUUCUUUUUUGUCAAAAUUCACUUGUAGCAACGCACAAGCGGAACUAAGCAUUCGAAAGUGUAUAUCCUAUUGAACCAAAAGUUGCAAUCACGAGCUGCUCACUCACCAUCUGUAUCGCAUGAAGUGGCCAUCAACAGGCGCGGCCUCAGGCACGUCGUCGGUGGAGAUUACACCGUUGGGCAGCCGCAGCAGCACGUACGGGGUGAUUUCGCACCCCACGAUCGGGAUCUCCGACGGCAGGUGCACCCGCACCACGCUCAGCAUCCUCCACUCCUGCUCCCCUCCCCUGCUCUCCUCUGCCCAGCCCAGGGGCGGAUCUAGAUGGUGUGCCGGGUGGGCACCGGCACACCCAAAAUUUGUGGACGCUGCGAGGACGGCGGAAGGCCAGGGCGACGUCGGGAGAGGAGGGGAGCGCCGCCGUCAAGGGGACCGGGAGAGCGAGACAGGGUUAGGGUUGGUUGCCUGAGGGUAUUUUUGGGCAUUUCGAAAAUCUAGAGUUGUGUCCAGCGCAUUUUUUUUCUAAACUAGUAUUGCGUAAGCGGGACGGAGUGGUAAUGUUUGUGCAAGACAAGAGAGAGCCGGAGAGGAUGACAUGUUUUUUUUAACGAUAAUAUUAAAAACUAGUCAAAUGUCCAUGGGACAAACUCAUAUGCGAUACUCACCGCAUUUGUAGUUAUAGAUUAAUACCUUUUCAUAGCAGUUUGCAGAGAUGGAACCAUGAAAGGCGUUGCAGACGUAUAAUUCACUCGCUAAAAAAUCCAUAUUGAGAAAAUAAUUAUGUACUUGAUAGACUCGGUCUCACGAAGUUCUGGUAAGAAGCCGGUUCGGAGGGACAAAGUUCCAGAAAGAUGGCCGCAAUGUCACGCACGACCAGGCGAAUUUGUGAUAGUUUUUUUGUUAUGAAAAAGCAAAGUAUAUGUGAUCGGCAUGCGACCUUGUGGAUUGGGGUUGAAAGUGUUGGACUGCAGUGUAUACCUUCAACCCACCACGUCUUGAUUUAAAGGCCAAAUCAACGUAGGAUUCGGACUCCUUAACUAAAUACGAUUAGGAUUCCCUAUCUAUGUCGGAUUUGGUCUCCUAUUCUGUGAUUGGCAAUUGGGAAUUUAGACAUUAAUCCAUAGCUUCUCCAACUCUUUAGUGAUUGAACGUAACGGUUGGUACAAGCUAGGCUGGGCGCGAUGGGCUGAGGCUGAGGCAAACCAACCAUGGACCUCGUACCGUUUAGAUUGAAAAAAGGACAUGUUUUUUUUUGUUUAUCGAUCAGGACGGACAGGCGCACGCACGAGGGUGAGUUGGAGGUUCAGAUCGGUUGGGCUUAGUGGAAGUUUUAAUGAAAAAGGCCUACGGACGUUCGCCAUCACCACCGAUUGUAAUAUAAUAGACAUUGUAGAUUAGUUAUGAUUUGGACCACCGGGCACCGGAACCCAAGCUGCUCAAUUUUGGCAAAAUUUGCAGAAAGCAAACUCAAACCCGAUGGCUCCUAUGUAGAUGGGAGUGAACUCAGAGUAUUCUCAUCGUGUUGCUACAAAGCUUUUCUUUGAUGAUGUUCCCUCCGUUGUGUUUCCCUUGCGUGCUCAAGGACACAAUGUUGUGAUUGAGGAAAUUGUUGAUGACCCUAGCUCUGCCAUCUUCCGUCCGUAAGUGAGGGCACAAGCAGCGCGUUGCUACUCCAGAAGUAACUUCAGGUCUGUGCCAUAGUUCAUGCUCUACCAUGUUUAGAGGAUUCAAGUCCUAGCUUGUUUCUGAUGUGCAGAAGAAACAGUCCAAGUGUCGAUGUUAUACAUUGUCAGAAUAUGAUUCGGGAUAGCACACGACCAAGGAUUACUACUACUCUUGAUGGCAACAGUCUACGUGUUUAUCAUUUGUUGGAACUCCAAGCACAAAGUGAUGUAACAAAGGGUGUUUUCCCCCACAAGUGUUUUACCCCCAACAAGCACCACAAUGGUUGUCAAUCACAAUGAUCACUAUACAGAAUCACUUAUUUCUGACGCGUUAAAAAACUUCUAGUCUGACGCAAAUGGGACGUGUCACUAAUCAAGUGUCAAAGAUGACUCGGGAACUUCUGACGUGUCAACAAGCGUCAGAAGUAGGAAACCCUAAUGACGCUUCUUGUCGAUUGUUAUUAGAGACAAGUAUCCUCAUGUCGGGUGAAGGCCAUGUUUGUUUGAGCUUCUGCUUCAGCUUUUGGUGGUUCUAGCUCUCUAAAAAGCACUGCUUCCGUUUACACAUGAAGCUGAGAAGCACGUCGUGAGGUGCUUCCCUCCAGAAGCUGCAGGAAGCACCUCCAGACGUGCUUCUCAGCUUCAUGUGUAAACGGGAGAAAUGCUUUUUAGAGGGCUAGAAGCAGCAAAAGCUGAAGAAAAAGAAAAAGCCCAAACAAACAGGGCCGAAGAUGAGUAAGAAGAUAGAGGGGCCUCACGGUGAUAUCUACUCGUGUAAGAUAGAGAACUCGGCGAAAGACAAGGGUUUAUACCGGUUUGACUUGCUCCUUUUCGUGAAAGCAAGCCUACGUCAUGUUGGUAAUCUAAUAUUUGUGUAUGAUAUUACAAGGUGUGUUCUGCCCAUCGAGGGCGCCUAGCCCGCUUUAUAUAGUCAAACAACUAGGGUUUCGGGUAGAGCCGGGUACAACUUUUACAUGGACUGUACCUUCCUAAACUAGUUAGGAUUCUUCCUUUACAAGAUAUCUACAACUAGUAUUUCCUAUUACCUGAACUAGGCUUCCUUCUUCAAUACGACAACUUCCUUGACCGAGUGAUAGGGGAUGUCUGGCUUGUGCGCUGAGUCGACUUUCUCUGUUCAGUCGUCUCUCAGCUACCCGGCUAGAAUAUCCUCGUCAUUAGCCCCGAGUACAAUGUGGAUAGGGGGGAGCUGAAUAAUGCCAUCGUCGUCAAUCUCGAAUCUUUCUCGUUUCAUGUGCUUUUCUUGAGUUGCUUCUUCUUGAUUUUAUUCCGACCUCAAAUCCACAAUGUACUUCUCUAUGACAGCUUGAGGUUCGAGCUCAUGGCUUCUUAUGCAUAAAGUUCAGCUAUAAGAGCAAACCAGCUUCUAUGUGGCAUGUGUUAGCAUUGCAGCGAUAUUAGCUCCUGUUUUGAUUUGUGUUUUUUCCUUAGCUGUAGCGUUGCUUUGAAUUAAUUAGCAACUACGUCGUGCAUGUAAAAAAAAGUGAGUUCCAACAAAUCUCUGACGUGCGCUAGAACAAGAGGUCAGUGAGCAUCAAAAGUAUACUGACGUGGCGACACAAGGAAGAGCUAGGAAAUUCCUCGUGAACAAAGUUGACGCUUCCACAAAGGAAAGAGUCACAUCAGCUAGAAUCUCCUUCGACGCUUACGAAGUAAGGAAGCGUCAGUAGAAAUGAAGAGUCAGAAGUGUGGAAGUUCUCCUACGCUUCUCCGAGGUAGGUGUCAGAAAUAUCUUAUUGACGCUGCCUCGUGGAUGCUACCUAUGACAGUCCUUAUAAGGAGCCGCAGAGAUAAGGAUUUGCGCUGACGCUUUUUAGUUUUGUGUCAGUGGGGAGCUUGCAAGAGUAAAGUCUAUAGUAGUGAGUGUAAGGCUAAACUUUAAAUAAACAAAUAAUAACUUUAAGUAAACUAAUGCAAAACAAUAAUUUAAACUAACUAGAAGAUGCAAUAACUAUAUAAUAAAUACUACUACUUAUUAUGCAACUAAAUAACCAAGAGAGAAUGUUUAAAUGGCUUUUUACAAGAUAUCUAAAAAAAAGCAAUUAAAUAAAUGCAAAAUAAUUGUAACAGAGGUGUUUCUUAUGAUAUUAAAGAGGACCAGGAUACUCUUUGCGGCAUGAAUAUAGCACAUAGGACAAGUUCAUUUACUUUGCAAUGUUUUUAUGAAGUGAAUGAUAAGCAUUCAUAUGGACAUCACGUCCUAAUAUUGAGAAUAUGCAAAAUAUCUCACUAAUGCUCCCUUGGUAAGUGACUCAUCAAACUAGAUUAUUGCUUUAGGUACUUUGACAUGAUGUUGAACUUUAAUGCAACUUUGAGCAAGCAAGACCACCAUUGUUGUCAUUUGGUAGCAUAAUGCGUAUUCAUUUAUCCCUAGCGGGUCAAAUCACUGAAAGGUGAAAAUCAUAGUGGUUCCCAAAAUUUUUGUCACUAUCCGGUUGCCACUACCAAUUGCUCUAUCUAAUACACACAUCCCCACACAUGCACAUGUAAACUAGUAUGAUUAGUACAAGUAAGCAAGAAGGGAUAGACAUAUGCAUCUAUCAAUACAUCAAAACACAAUCCAAACAUUGCAAACUCAUGACUCAUCUCAUAACAAAAGGUUCACCAAUAAAAAAUAUAACGAUGAUCAUAAUCAUGAUAGGAAACUCGUAUGAUUCUAUUACAACCCAUAGCCCAGCGAGGACUACUCCCUCAUCAUAUUGGUGAUGAUAGAGAAUAUGUUCAAGGAGAAGGAGAGGCGACCGAUGGUAUUUUCCCUUCUAAUCUUGGAUCAAUCUGAUGUUGUUUUUUUUCUUUCCGAGUCGUUGUGCUAUGCAAGCGCAAAGCACGGGGUAUUAAUAAAUGGUUUUAGGUCAAGACGAAUCUUCGGGUGAAAGAAUGCACUUGC
rnacentral:lncRNA from 1 species